GCCUCGGUAGCUCAGUUGGUUAGAGCGCUGCACCGGAAUCGCAGGGCCGUAGGUUCAAUUCCUACCAGAGGAC
rnacentral:tRNA from 1 species